rnacentral:misc_RNA from 1 species
GUGAAUCAUCGAAUCUUUGAACGCAAAUUGCACUCUCCGGUUUUCCGGGAGAGUAUGCCUGUUUGAGGGUCAGCCUAAAAAAAAUCGACAUUGUUGCUGUUAUUUAAUGGUGACUUUCGUCGGAGAUUGGGUUAUCUUAAACCUUUUUUUUUUUUGUUGUAAGCGCCUUAUAAUUUUUUUUUUCGAGUUUCUGUGAGUGUUU